rnacentral:rRNA from 1 species
UACGUAGGGUGCGAGCGUUAAUCGGAAUUACUGGGCGUAAAGCGUGCGCAGGCGGUUCGUUGUGUCCGUCGUGAAAGCCCCGGGCUUAACCUGGGAACUGCGAUGGAAACUAGCGAGCUGGAGUGUGGCAGAGGGGGGGUGGAAUUCCGCGUGUAGCAGUGAAAUGCUUAGAGAUGACAUAGAAUACCUAUUGCGAAGGCAGCUUACUACGCAGAUAUUGACGCUCAUGCACGAAAGCGUGGGGAUCAAACAGG